GCCCUUGUAGCUCAGUGGAUAGAGCACCGGACUUCUAAUCCGUUGGUCGUAGGUUCGACUCCUACCAAGGGCGCCA
rnacentral:tRNA from 4 species